UACGAAGGGUGCAAGCGUUACUCGGAAUUACUGGGCGUAAAGCGUGCGUAGGUGGUUUGUUAAGUCCGUUGUGAAAGCCCUGGGCUCAACCUGGGAAUGGCAGUGGAUACUGGCAAGCUAGAGUGCGGUAGAGGGUAGUGGAAUUCCCGGUGUAGCAGUGAAAUGCGUAGAGAUCGGGAGGAACACCAGUGGCGAAGGCGGCUCACUGGCCCGGUACUGACGCUGAGGUGCGAAAGCGUGGGGAGCAAACAGGG
rnacentral:rRNA from 1 species